UAGGGAAUCUUCCGCAAUGGGCGAAAGCCUGACGGAGCAACGCCGCGUGAGUGAUGAAGGUCUUCGGAUCGUAAAACUCUCUAAUUAGGGAAGAACAAAUGUGUAAGUAACUAUGCACGUCUUGACGGUACCUAAUCAGAAAGCCACGGCUAACUACGUGCCAGCAGCCGCGUUAAUACGUAGGUGGCAAGCGUUAUCCGGAAUUAUUGGGCGUAAAGCGCGCGUAGGCGGUUUUUUAAGUCUGAUGUGAAAGCCCACGGCUCAACCGGGGAUGGUCAUUGGAAACUGGAAAACUUGAGUGCAGAAGAGGAAAGUGGAAUUCCAUGUGUAGCGGUGAAAUGCGCAGAGAUAUGGAGGAACACCAGUGGCGAAGGCGACUUUCUGGUCUGUACCUGACGCUGAUGUGCGAAAGCGUGGGGAUCAAACAGG
rnacentral:rRNA from 1 species